rnacentral:misc_RNA from 1 species
UUCAGUAUGCUAAGCAUUGCUGAAUUUCGUAUUACUUUUCAUGCUGCGCGCGGUUUAGAGAGAAGUUUACUAAAACAAACGAGAAUAUAAGGCAGUUGCAAACCUCUUUUGUUGCCUGCGAGGUACGAACGCUGCGCCGCUAAGAUCAGUUCGAGUAGAAAUCUUAAAGAGUGUGGACGUUUGGCGGACUAGCAAAAAUCCUGAAAUUAACUUUCCAGAUUAGCACUGAAACACCGGGAGUGUUUGUGUAUUACAAAUACCGGCAAAUUUGUAUUACAAAUACCGAAAAUUUAAUUUAAAAUAAAUCGCCGUUAGAAUUCAUAUUUUUUUAAGUUGAAUAAGUGCUUGAUUGUCGAGAAGAGAAGAAACCAAAUUAGAUUGAAGUGUGAGAUUUUCGGAAGCAAAAUAAAGCAAAGGUAACAACAUGCCACCAAACGCUACAGCAAAUACACAAUCCAUAAGCAACUCCUUGGUUGCCAAUGCCAGUGGUGAUUCGAAAUCUCUGACUGAUAACACCACUGGUGUACUCUUCGAGCAAGAUGCCGAAACCUAUGAUGGAGGCUUAUUGAAGGACAUUGAAAAGCUGAAGAAAGCUGAAAAACGAAGGUUUAAACUGGUUUGGCGAAACAUAAUUGCAUUCGUCUAUGUCCACUUAGCAGCUGUAUAUGGACUUUAUUUGAUGUUGACAUCGGCCAAAUGGCAAACUAUUUCAUUAGCACUUUUCUUAUAUUUGAUUUCUGGACUGGGUAUAACAGCCGGUGCUCAUCGCCUUUGGGCUCAUCGUGCCUACAAGGCCAAAUGGCCGUUACGUCUGAUUUUGAUGGUUUUCAAUACAAUCGCCUUCCAGGAUGCUGCCUACCACUGGGCACGUGAUCAUCGUGUGCAUCACAAAUAUUCGGAAACCGAUGCUGAUCCCCAUAAUGCUACACGGGGCUUCUUCUUCUCUCACGUAGGUUGGUUAAUGUGCAAAAAACAUCCCCUGGUGAAAGCCAAAGGCAAAGGCGUGGAUUUGUCCGAUUUGCGCGCUGAUCCGAUUUUAAUGUUCCAGAAGAAAUAUUAUUUGAUUUUGAUGCCGAUUUUGUGCUUCUUGUUGCCCACCACGAUUCCUAUGUAUGCAUGGAAUGAGAAUUUCGUCAAUUCAUGGUUUGUUGCUGCUAUGUUCCGUUGGUGUUUCACUUUGAAUAUGACUUGGCUGGUGAAUAGCGCUGCACAUAAAUUCGGAGGAAAACCCUACGACAAAUUUAUCAACCCAUCAGAAAAUACAUCGGUAGCCAUCUUCGCUUUCGGUGAAGGCUGGCACAACUAUCAUCAUGUAUUUCCAUGGGACUACAAAACGGCUGAACUUGGCGAUUAUUCUCUGAAUAUUACCACGGCUUUUAUUGAUUUCUUUGCCAAAAUCGGCUGGGCCUACGAUCUAAAGCAGGUGUCACCUGACAUCAUCGAAAAGCGCGUCAAACGCACUGGCGAUGGCUCCCAUGCGACUUGGGGUUGGGGAGAUAAAGAUCAGUCUAAGGAAGAAAUGGCGGACGCGCUAAUUACACACAAAAAAGACGAAUGAAGCAAAGAUAAGUAACACACAAGCAGCGAAGAAAGAGCAACAGAAUAAACGUGGCGUGUCUGAACAACUGUCAGAGCGGUCAUCUGUAAGAUAAAAAGCAUGUACAUAUAACUGAUUAGGAAUGGGUUAAACAGUUGUUGUAGGGGUGUGCGAAGGUGUCAAACACUGCAGUAAUCAAUCUAAUAGCAUUUUUCAAGUCGUUUUAAAAAGAAUUAAACCUACUUUCAAAUUCGAAGAGAAUAUCGAAGAGCUCUCGCUGUUUCAAGGGGCUCUUCUUCCUAAGCGUAGAUGGCUUAUACUGUAACUGUGCUAACAAUAUCAUGGAAAUAUAUAAGUAUAAGUAUACGAAAAUGCAAACGAAUUUAUAAUAAAUUUGAAAAGUUAAAACAAAUUCAAAUACCAUUGUAACAGAGAAAGUUAAAGAAAUUUGUUUGCACUCUAAAUUUUUAGUGAAUCUAAAUGCAAUGAAUGAAAUAUGUAUAUGUAUUGGGGUAUACAUGAAAUAUUUUUAACACUACUUUCAAAGGUAACAUUUCCAAAUUACUGCUAACAGCACGCUAAAUAAUGUAUGUAGUACUACAAAUGGGGUUCUUAGUAUUUAUGAAUAAAACAGAUAUAUAUAUGAAACAUGUUAUUUCUAAAAAUAAAUAUAAACUAUUACAUAUAAAUUGUUGAGUAAUACUAACCAAAUAGAAGCAACUAUUUUUUAACAUUAUAGUGAUUCCAUUAUCCUAAUUUACAUUAAAAAAUAUGUUGGCCAAUGUGAAAGAAAUUUAAAUACAAAAGAAAAGAAACGAA